CGCGAAGUGGUUAGGCUUGGAACUUAGCCCCUGCUGGCGCGGGUGUCGCAGACUUUGGACGGAGGGUCAGUGGGGCGGCGGGAACCCGAGUGCCCGGCGGGGGCCCCGCCCCUCCGUCCUUCCCAACUUCCUGUCAGCGGAGAGGCGCUCGGAGCCCUCGGACUGGGUCCCUGUUGCCCUUCGGAAAGGCGGGCCUCAGUUUCUCGGUCCGCGCCGUGGGCGGGGGAGACCUGGAGUCAUUUUCUGGUGGUUCCAGCUGUGUUCGAAGGUGUCCCCCGCGCCCUUUCUCACCUCACGGCGGCCGAUCUUGUUCUGCGCUUUCUAGGUGGCACUUGGGAGUCUCGCCCUGGGAGGGAGACGGGUCCGUAGUCUCCGGUCGCAGAUCCGUGGACCCUCUUCGCAGACGCCUCGUGGAGCCUCAGGUCGGUCGGCUUCUUUUUGCAGUGGGACUUGUGAGCUCAUAUCCCCGCGGUUUCCUGCAUGGCGUUUAAGAAGGGGGUGGUGCAGUGGUCUGCCCUCCACUUGCUGCGAAGCUUUGGGCAAGUUGUUCUACCCCCGGGGUCCCUGGUCUCCUAGGAGCCGAGAACGCUCCAGCGUUGUAGGUGCUGGCUUUUGGCUUUGCAGAGGCAAAUGCGUGUGCGUCCCGGUACCUGUUCCUUGAGUAAAGCGCUGUGCAGUCCAGAAGGGCCCAAAUUCCUCAGUGUUAGGGUGGGGAGAGAAGGAAGAGGGGUCAACAAACUAAUAGCUUUGGGAGGGCUAAGGUUCUCAAAAGUGUUAAGAGACCCAAGCUUAAGAAGGUUCACGGCCAAGCAGGGCUGGCUGGUUGGCGCAGGGGAGCCUUCACCCUGAUGCUACAGGGGUACACAGGCAUGCUGAUGAGCAGGCAGGGGACAGCUAGGGUUCUGACCGGGGGUAGGAGUUUGGGACUGGGGGGAAGCCAGGGCAGAGACUUGGGUAGUGCACUGUGUAUUGGGCAUGGGAUGUGGUUUUUGUGCGCAGCCUGGCACUUAACCUUAGAUUGGUGGCAGGAGCUUGGAGUGUGGUUCGUGGUCACUGGCGUUCACCGUCAUUGGUUUUCAGAGCUUGAUGAGGAACUGGACUGGAGUCCCGAGUGGAUUGCAUUUGUGUGCUGCCACUUGAGCCACUGCUGCUGGCAGGCUCUGUUAUAUUGUUUUUCUCUGUUAGGAUGGGAAGGCUUUCAGGUGGAAGAAUCAUCCCCCAGAGUGAGGGCCAUACCUGAGAGGUUCCUGGAUGCUUAGGUGGCAGAAGUAGGUGCUGGUGGCCCUAGCAGCUUCAGAUGCUGCAGGCCACCCUGGGAGGUGCUCAGCAGAAAGAUCAGCAGAGCUGUGUCUCCCUGGAGGAACUCACUCUGAUGGGGGCAGGGGUAGAUAAACACAUAGGCAACUGUGCACAAAGGUGUGUGCAGACCGUGGUGCCCCUGGAUGUGAGCAGAUGGAACAUUGGGAUAUGUGUGGAGGGGUUGCAGAGUGUGUUCUGUGGCAGCUGUGAGUGGACCUCCCUUUGCAGAGAUACUUGGGAAGUGGCCACUGUCAGGUUAGGCAGUGGGAGAGCCCUGAGAGAGGGCUCCUGGCAUUGGAAGGGAACUGUACUUGGUGAUGGUUGCAGCCUCCUUUCCCACUUCUGGGCUCUUUGGACUGCUCAGGGUUGAUGACCACUGCCCUCCAGGCCCUUUACUGGAGUGACUUUGAGGUGGUGAAAGAAGACACAGCGAGUGAGAUUAAACUUGAGGGAUUGGAUCCUGUGCUGUUGACGAGGAUGAGGACAGGGAGGUGGUGUUUAGGAUGAGGGUGGUGUUGUCAGCACGCUGGACUCUGAGUGGUGAGGUAAGUCUGGAAAGCAUGGGUAGAGAGGCUGGUGGGCACCAGAGAAUAGUGGGACCCCAGGCUUCUGUCUGGCAUGCAGGUAGCCCCUUCCAAGCUCUUAGUGCUUUGAUGUAAAAGAAUCUUGUGACCUGGUCUGCUUACUUAACGCUCACAGUGUUUGGGGUGACUGGGGGCUCCUUCUCAGUGGAUUGAAACGUAGUUCAUAACCAGCAUGGUGAUGUGUGGUGGUUAAUCAUAUGGUCUUUAGAGCCAGGUUCACCUGCCUCGGUCACUUACUGAUUGGUGUGUGGCUGCAGACAAGUGACUUCACUCACCACUUUGCCUCUGGUACGAUAAGAGUAUCAGCCUCAUCAAGGGGUCAGUGUUUGCCAUAGAUAGAGCACUCAGUUAAAGGUUGCUUUUGUUGUUCUUCUGAAAAUCCCUGACAGCCAGCCAGGCUGUCCAAGGAAGCCCAGGGGCUUCUGAUCUGGCCCCUUUUCCUUCUCCUGGGACUGAUAGCAUCUGCCAUCACACCUUGCCCAUGAAACAUCACAGGUGGCAUUUGCCCACCUUCUCAGGCCUCUCAGGCCUGCCUCUUGGGCCCUCCUUCCAGUCACAGCUCCUAGUGGGGUACCUGGGGUUUGCCUGCAUAUUGCCUCCUUUUGCUGCAUGGUGGAGAUGGUUGGGCCUAGUUCCCGCUCUUCCCCACCUUGUUUUUGGACAGGAUUGCCUUGGAUGGUGGCCUGCAUCUGACUGUCCCAUCAGCUCUUCUCAGCUCUCCUGAGGCCACAGCUGUCAGCUCCUCUGACCCUCAGCACUUGCCUGGAACAUCUGGGUUUGCCAGACACCUCUUCAGCCCAUCUCUGUCCUGCUGUGUCCUGCCCACCCUCCCCGCUGCACCAUCUCUUCCUUUCUUCCCCCUUCCUCUUCUAGUUGGUGUGGCAGCUCCCCUCUGCUCCCAGCAUGCCCUGUUGCUGGCGCCAUCGGCACGGCCCUUGCAAUCCCAUCCCAGCAGCAGCCAGUUAUGCCAACACACACCCUUGGCAGCAGAUGGACCAGGUCUCUCUUGGGGUCACAUAUGCCCCCCUAGUGGAUCCCUGGAUUGAGCGGCCCUGCUGUGGGGACCCCGUAUGCGUGCAUACGACCAUGGAGCAGAAGAGCACAGCCAGCAGUGCUCCUGGUGGUAAGCCCACAGAAAGGGGACCCCUGGCUCUGUGCAUGCCCAGCCCAUGGCCCCUCAGCGUGGACUUCUACUAGGUGCCAAGCUUGGACCCAGGCACCUUUGAUGACUCCCCAUGGCUUGUGGACCGAUUUUGGGCUCAGUUGGGUGAUUACAUGUCGUUUUGCUUUGAGAACUGUCAGGACAACCUCAGUCACGUCUGUGAGAUCCUUGGGCACCCGACCGGCCAAGCCCGGGCAUGAGCACCCCCCCUACCUCGUCGGGGACCUGCCCCUUCCUGACGAUUAUGAGCUCUUCUGCCAGGAUCUCGAGGAUGUCAUUCAAGACCUGAACAGUUUUGCUGAGUACCAUGCUGCAACGCCUUGCCCCCUGGCCCCUGCCUCAAGCCAGUCACCAGUGGCCCCGCAGCUGCCUGUGGUGAGGCAGUACUUAGCUAAGUAUUCGGAGGUCCUGGCAUUCAACGUGGGUGCUGUCCCAGUUGCUGUGGCCACCUUUGCUGUUUAUACUUCCAACUCUACAUCCAGAAAUGGUCUCCCUGAGUAGCAGCUGGCCAAGGAGAGAGCAGCCUUGGGUCUGUGGAGUCCCUCACCUUGUCUAGUUCCGCAUGCAGGGCUGAUGCUGGUCCUGUGAGGCCAGCCUCAUCCCAUCCAGGGUAGGCGGUCCCCACACCUGUCCCUGCACUUUCAGGAUCUGUAACCCGCCUACCCAGAAACCAGAUCCAGUUCCGCCAGGGUCCAGAAACCCAGAAGACAAAGGAGGAAGUUUCUAAGACAGAGGAAGACCAGAAGGCAUCCUUAAGUACCCCUCAGCAGGUUGCAGACACCCCAGAGACCCCAAGAGAGCUAGCAGUUUCUCUUGCUCCCUACCCCACAGCCCUGGAUUCUGAACACAGUCCAGGCAGAUUCAGUAGUGCCCCUUGUGAUGAAGUGGCCUGCAUAGCUGAAAAGCCCCACAGUGCCCCAGCAGGACAGAGUGGCAUUGCCAGAUGACUGUAGCCAUAGUGUGCCAGGUAUUGCCUUAUCCACUUGCUUUAUUGCUGGGCCACUUGUUUUAUUGCUUUAUUGGAGGUGCACCUGUUUGGGCUCUGCCCUGUCUGAACACAGACAGCCCCCUUGUCCUCACCAUCCCACCUCCUCUUGUAGCAGAAUAUUGGGCUCUACCAUGUGCUCCUCAUUCUCUGACUUCUCCAGUCACCCAGAGGCUGCCUCCCUGUGCAUUGCCAGCUGCAUUGCCAUUAGUUGGACAGAGUUCCAUACAGCAGUCCCCAUUCAGAUAUCUGUAUGUCUUCAUAACCACCCCCUCCCCAGAUCCCUCAUUCAGUGUUGGCUAGACUGGACUGGGUCUGCCAUGCCAGCCCUGUUUAGAUCUGUCCCUGGAUGGUAUCUGUACUUAGGCCCCCUUCCCCAUCUUGGCUCUCUGUGACCUUUGUCCUCUGGGCUAGAAUUUAAGGAAGGCUGCAUGGAGGAAGUGGCCACUUUGAUCAUUUAGUACUAGUGGGAUGGCAGAGAAAGAUGCUUCCCUAUGGGUAUACCAGGAGCCUGGGACAGCUAGGGAGAUGGGAUACAAGCCUCCUUGCCAGUCUUAACUAAGUUCCAAGCAUUUCCCCCUUCUGUAUAUUAACAUUGUAGUUAACACCUGGUGUUUUCAGAAGUUGGCAUGAAUUUCUGUGUCUCAGUGCCUUUGCCCAUUGUUGCCUUCCCACUUUCUGCUAUUCAGCAUUCCCUGCCUCCCUGCCCACUGUUGGGCAUUGCUGACUCAACACUUAAGCCAUAACACUAUAAAUGACUUGUAUCUUUGGGUAGAUUGUGAGCCUCUAGGGCAGGAGCUCCAUCCUAAUCAGCUUUGUGUCCCUGGUACACA
rnacentral:lncRNA from 1 species